rnacentral:rRNA from 1 species
CCUACGGGUGGCAGCAGUGGGGAAUAUUGCACAAUGGGGGAAACCCUGAUGCAGCGACGCCGCGUGAGUGAAGACGUAUUUCUGUAUGUAAAGCUCUAUCAGCAGGGAAGAAAAUGACGGUACCUGAGUAAGUAGCCCCGGCUAACUACGUGCCAGCAGCCGCGGUAAUACGUAGGGGGCCAGCGUUAUCCGGAUUUACUGGGUGUAAAGGGAGCGUAGACGGAAGGGUAAGUCUGGAGUGAAAUGCUGGGGCUUAACACCGGAAUUGCCUUGGAAACUGUGCGGCUAGAGUGCAGGAGGGGUAAGUGGAAUUCGUGGUGUAGCGGUGAAAUGCGUAGAUAUUAGGAGGAACACCGGUGGCGAAGGCAGCUUACUGGACUGUAACUGACGUUGAGGCUCGAAAGCGUGGGGAGCAAACAGGAUUAGAUACCCUAGUAGUC